AUUUCAGGCACUAGAUACCUAGGGAUAUUAGAGUUAGUCACGUAGAAUUCAAUUUAUCUAUGUGGAGGUUAUCUCUGGCAAUGCUAAAUGGUUGGAAGUUUUCUUUAAAGCUAUUGGAUGCAAGCUGGACCUGGUCAAAGCUGGGUUAGUGUAAGCAUAUGGUAUGGCUGCGUCAUACAUGCAAGGUGAACCAGAAGGAGAGGGCGCAGGUGAAGUAUACGAGAAACUGUCAUCAGGCUGAUACAUCUGUCUGUAGGUCUGGUCUUCACUGAAUAUUGAUCCAUAGGUCUAAGGAAAAGUGUUAAAAUUGUAGUUCAAAACAACAACAAAGAGACUAGAAAAGUUAAAAAAAGAAAUUAAUUAGUUAAUCCCCCAACCCUCAAAAAAAAAAAUCAAUUAAAAUUUAAUUAGUUAGAAAAGAUCAUAUACCACAUCUUCACUAAAUCCUGGAAAAAAAUCAUCCUUCUCAGAUGUAGUCACAUGUGGUUGAAAAACAAUCAGCAUUAUCCAUAUGGGCAGCAACAGUUUGAAGAUCUAUAAUCAUUAAAAACAAAAAUGAUAAAAUGUAAACAAGAUAAGUGAAAUAAAGACAAACUCAAAA